rnacentral:misc_RNA from 1 species
GCAGAAGUAAGAUUUCUUAUAUUCUUGGUUGUCAUACAUUGAUUGUGUUUUGAUUCUUAGAAAGUUGGUAACUAUAUUAUAUUGUCCCUAGUCCCCUCCUCUUCUGUGGUUGUUUGACACUCUGUGUAAUGAAAUGAAUAGGCUUCAAAGACAUAUUGUGCUUUCCAAAUUGGAUAAAGAUAUGUAUCUAUAUUUAUGUCUACACUGAUUCAACUCAUUUGCUUCAUUGUGGGCAUUUGUGGGUGUAUAUAUUUUCUAGAUUUCUCCCUUUUUGGUAUUGAUGUUUUAUUUUUUGAGGAUCAUGUUUUUAAGUUGAAACCUGUCAAUUUGGUUCAUGUACUAUUUAUGCGCUUAAUGAGUUAUUAGCACUAGACUUCUACCUAAGAUCACGGUGUGGAAUUUAGUUUGAUGCCAUGAUUAGUGAGCUGAUAUUAAGGUUUUAUACUUUUAAAUUAAAGUUUUGUACUUUUUAAGUUUUAGUUACUAUUGGUCAUUGCAUAUCCAUGUUGCAGCUUGCCCCCUUUGAUCCUACCA